GCAGCCCUGGCUGUCCCUGGAGCAGUGGGAGCUGCCGCUGGCCCCAGGCACUGUCCUGUGAGGAGCUGCUGAAGGACGCUGAGACUGAGGGGGCUGAGGAGGCGCUGAUGCUGAAGGGACCUUGCAAACCUUGAGCUGUCCUGAAGAGCUUGAGGAGAGCCAGAUACUGAGAGGAGCCAGCAGGGAGAAGCUGAAGGCCUGGAGCAAGAGCAGUGAGCAGGGAUGUGCUGGGGCCACGCGAGAGCCUGGAUGUCCCAUCUGCUGUCCCUGUCCAGGAGAGCUGCUCUGCAUGGCAGGAAAAGACCGAGGGAGAAGCUUUGAAGAUGGGGCGGCUGGGAUCCCUCUGAUUAUAGCUCUGUUUAGAGAUGGAUGGCCUUGCACACAGACAGGGAUAAUUAAGUGAAUAUUUACAUGUGUAUGUACCGAUGCAGUUGUAUGGAUAUUGAGAUUGGUACAGUGACAUUUGUAUCUUUUCCAAUAGUUUUGUUUUAUAUAUCUAUAUGUAUAUAUACUGUAUGAAAUAUGUAAUAUUUAAUCUGUAUUUCCAUAUGUAGAUUGUUAUAGACGUAUUUGUAGAGGUAUUUAAUUCUAUUUAAACAUGUAUAAAAUGGUAGAGUUGUAUAAUUCUAUCGAUCGAAUUCUUAGUACAGGAUUAUUUAGAGGGAGACACUGAUAUUUUUGUAUUUCUAGAUGGGCUGUAAGCUUGUAGUAAUCUGUAAUAAAUUAAGUUGUUAAACCCCUCAUUGAUCUUUGUCUAUAGUGACUUGUAGAGGUUAGCAGGAAGUUAAGUUUUUGCCAACUGAAGUUGGUAUUUGUAUAUUUUUUCAUGGCAUUGUUGUGCUAAUAUAAUAAAUGACUUUUUUUAAACUUAAUUGAGAUUUUGAUAGUUGUGUAUUGUCAGCGCAGGUGUAGCAAUUUGUAAUAAAUGACAUUUUUCAACUGAAA